rnacentral:rRNA from 1 species
UACAGAGGUCUCAAGCGUUGUUCGGAUUCAUUGGGCGUAAAGGGUGCGUAGGCGGCGCGGUAAGUCGGGUGUGAAACUUCGAGGCUUAACUUCGAAACUGCAUUCGAUACUGCCGUGCUUGAGGACUGGAGAGGAGACUGGAAUUUACGGUGUAGCGGUGAAAUGCGUAGAUAUCGUAAGGAAGACCAGUGGCGAAGGCGGGUCUCUGGACAGUUCCUGACGCUGAGGCACGAAGGCCAGGGGAGCAAACGGG